rfam:Actinobacteria bacterium OK006 ctg10, whole genome shotgun sequence.
AAGAUGUAUGCUCAUGCUCGCUGUCGCCGCAGGGGAAUCCGGUGCAAAUCCGGAACUGUCCCGCAACGGUGUACUUGUACGUGUUCGCACACCCGUGCUCAUGUACUCGCGUCAGUCCGAGGACCUGCCGACAGCGCGCCCGGCCA